rfam:Vigna angularis cultivar Jingnong 6 chromosome 2, whole genome shotgun sequence.
AUACCUUUCUCGGCCUUUUGGCUAAGAUCAAGUGUAGUAUCUGUUCUUAUCAGUUUAAUAUCUGAUAUGUGGGCCAAUGGUCCACACGAUAUUAAAUUAAUUUUUUAAAGGGGAAGGUCCACGACGGUAGCUUGCUACUGGGUCCUUCAAGUGUCGCUCUUGCGUUGCACUAUAGCAUGGGCUGGCACACCCUCC